GACGAACGCUGGCGGCGUGCUUAACACAUGCAAGUCGAACGGUGAAGCGCCUUCCUUUUUGGUGGGUGUGGAUGAGUGGCGAACGGGUGAGUAACACGUGAGUAACCUGCCCCCUUCUUCUGGAUAACCGCAUGCAGUUGUGGCUACUACGGGAUAUUCUGGGUCUGUCGCUUGAUGGGUCUGGGACGGUUUUUGUUUCGGUGGUGGAUGGGCUCGCGGCUUAUCAGCUUGUUGGUGGGGUGAUGGCCUACCAAGGCGGUGACGGGUAGCCGGCCUGAGAGGGUGGACGGUCACAGAGCGACGGAAACACGGAGAAGACUACGAGGGGAGGCAGCAGGGGGGAAUAUGGAACGAUGGGCGGAAGGAUGAUGCAGCGACGCCGGGUGAGGGAUGGAGGCCGGCGGGUAGUGAACAGCUUUCGCGAGUGAAGAAGGCUGGACUCGUUUGUGGGUGGGUUGACGGUAGCUGGAUAAGAAGCGACGGCUAACUACGUG
rnacentral:rRNA from 1 species